rnacentral:rRNA from 1 species
CGAACCUGCCCUGUACUGGGGAAUAAUCAUUGGAAACGAUGACUAAUACCGCAUGUGGUCCUCGGAAGGCAUCUUCUGAGGAAGAAAGGAUUUAUUCGGCACAGGAUGGGCCCGCAUCUGAUUAGCUAGUUGGUGAGAUAACAGCCCACCAAGGCGACGAUCAGUAGCCGACCUGAGAGGGUGAUCGGCCACAUUGGGACUGAGACACAGCCCAA